UGAGAGGCACUUCCAGAAGGUGCUGAACAGGAGUCUGUUCACGGGCCUGCGCUCUGUCACCCACUUUGGUCGCCCUCCCUUUGAGCUCUUCUUAGACUCUCUGCAGGAGGUUCAUCCACAGGUACAUAAGAUUGGUGUGUUCAGCUGUGGUCCUCCAGGGAUGACCAAGAAUGUGGAGAAGGCCUGUCAGCUCAUCAACAGGCAGGACCGGGCCCACUUUGUGCAUCAUUAUGAGAACUUCUGAGCCUGCCCUCCUGGAUCCCUGUCCGGUCUGCUGCCCUCUAUCUUCUGUUACCGUCACUUGAGACCACAGUCAGGGAACUGGAGCCCCUCCCCUCAUAGCAUCUAUGUUCUGGGCAGGUAGACAAGGUCAGUCCAAUACCUACCUCAUGACAUAGCAAGUUAUGGGAUGUCCAGCAAGGAAAGGAAAACCCCUAUUUCUGACAACUGUGGAUGGGAACAGAACACUGGGGGUCGCCUCUGACAGGUCUAUGUUUCUGUUUUGCCUUCACAAAACUGCUGUGGGUUUUUCUUGGGGGGGGGAAUCAUUUGAGGAAAGCAGGACAAUCUCCUCUGAGUUUGUCUCAGAAACCACAUACCAAAAACCUGCACAGCCCACCUGCCUCAACUCGGGCUCUGGGUGCCCCCUGCCCCAGCCUCUGCCCUGCACCUUCCUGCUCUGAGAGGGCCACAGAGCCAGAGAACAGAUGCCCUGAGUUCCCAAUGUCAUCCAUGCUGUGACC
rnacentral:lncRNA from 1 species